rnacentral:rRNA from 1 species
AUGCGUUAGUAGCGGCGAGUGAGCGGCAAAAGCUCAAAUUUGAAAUCUGGCUCUUUCAGAGUCCGAGUUGUAAUUUGAAGAAGGUAUCUUUGGGUCUGGCUCUUGUCUAUGUUUCUUGGAACAGAACGUCACAGAGGGUGAGAAUCCCGUGCGAUGAGAUGAUCCAGGCCUAUGUAAAGUUCCUUCGAAGAGUCGAGUUGUUUGGGAAUGCAGCUCUAAGUGGGUGGUAAAUUCCAUCUAAAGCUAAAUAUUGGCGAGAGACCGAUAGCGAACAAGUACAGUGAUGGAAAGAUGAAAAGAACUUUGAAAAGAGAGUGAAAAAGUACGUGAAAUUGUUGAAAGGGAAGGGCUUGAGAUCAGACUUGGUAUUUUGUAUGUUACUUCUUCGGGGGUGGCCUCUACAGUUUAUCGGGCCAGCAUCAGUUUGGGCGGUAGGAGAAUUGCGUUGGAAUGUGGCACGGCUUCGGUUGUGUGUUAUAGCCUUCGUCGAUACUGCCAGCCUAGACUGAGGACUGCGGUUUAUACCUAGGAUGUUGGCAUAAUGAUCUUAAGUCGCCCGUCUUGA